rnacentral:rRNA from 1 species
GAUGAACGCUGGCGGCGUGCCUAAUACAUGCAAGUCGAGCGAACGGACGAGAAGCUUGCUUCUCUGAUGUUAGCGGCGGACGGGUGAGUAACACGUGGAUAACCUACCUAUAAGACUGGGAUAACUUCGGGAAACCGGAGCUAAUGCCGGAUAAUAUUUUGAACCGCAUGGUUCAAAAGUGAAAGACGGUCUUGCUGUCACUUAUAGAUGGAUCCGCGCUGCAUUAGCUAGUUGGUAAGGUAACGGCUUACCAAGGCAACGAUGCAUAGCCGACCUGAGAGGGUGAUCGGCCACACUGGAUCUGAGACACGGUCCAGACUCCUACGGGAGGCAGCAGUAGGGAAUCUUCCGCAAUGGGCGAAAGCCUGACGGAGCAACGCCGCGUGAGUGAUGAAGGUCUUCGGAUCGUAAAACUCUGUUAUUAGGGAAGAACAUAUGUGUAAGUAACUGUGAACAUCUUGACGGUACCUAAUCAGAAAGCCACGGCUAACUACGUG